GGAGGGUAAAGUGAGAAUCCUGCCUGCACCACAGGUCUGGACUGCUAACCUUGAAUCCUGGUUUCUUAAAUUCUGCCUCCGCUUCUGACUGAGGACCACUGGAUUUUGAGGAAACUUUGGUCUUAAUUCCCGUACUGAUUAGUCAACAGUGGAAAAUCUGAAGAGAUGCAAGCAGGAAAAAGAAAUUAAACCAGAAGGACAGGUGGAGGGAAGCGCCCCAGACAAGGAAGCUGGCAACCAGCCCCAGAGCAGUGAUGGGACCACCUCGUCUUGAAUCUGACCUUGUCCAAGAAGGCUGGACGAGAGACCUUCUGUCCCCUCCCAGAGGGGGAACCCUGGCACUGGCCCAGCAGCCUCUUCUCUGAGCUCCAUGUCCCAGAUAAACCAGGCCAGACUGAGAAGGCUCCCCAGAGGCCUCUGUGGCCUCCACUCCGGGAAAGCCCUCUGCCCACACCCACAGGCUUCACAUUCCCACCACCUUCGCACCGUGCCCAGGUACACUUUCAAGACACUGUAACCACAAGAUGUUAUUUAUUGAGCUGGCGCCGGGACUUGGGCGGGGCCUGCCCUACAGUGAGCAGCCCACACAGGAACGCUCCUCUCACGAGCGGCCCGGGCAGGGACCCUGUCCCAACACCAACACCUCCUCUCCAGCCCAAUCUUCUGGGUCCAGACCUGCUUGUCCCUUUUUUAGAAAACACUUUUAAACUUUUUAAAAAUUUUAAACCUUUUUUCAGCAGAUAUGGAGAGAGCUGACAAUCAAUUCACAUUUUUUAAGCCAUUUUAGCUAAACUGUCAUUGUGCAUCUCUGAGGUUCCCUCAUGGAGCUCCACAGAUCCAUUUUUAGGGAAGGGAUUUUGGCUCAAAACGAUCUGACCACCUCUGCCCUGUCCACCAGGAUAAGUGACACCUAGGACCCAGGAAAUAAAUGCCGAUGAUUUGUGUGACUGGUUUAAGAUUAUUUCUCCUUAACCUUGCAAAAACAGGGGUUGGGCCUUAUUUUCCCCAAGUCCACAAUUAGCCGGACUUGCCCCAGGCCUCUAGAACAUACGAUUCUGAGAAGAUGCUGGCGUUCUGCA
rnacentral:lncRNA from 1 species